ACUCCCGCUGCCCGCAGCGUCCAGGAUGGAGGUGCGAGGGCUGCGGGAACGCCGGGAGGGAGCUUCCCGGCCCCGUCGUCCUGGUCUGGGACGAGGUACCGCGGAGAUGGAGAUGUUGAAGCAGUGACGGGCUCCAGGAGCAGCCACCGGUAGGGCGUGGCCCAGAGCCGAGCGACAAAGGUAAGGCAGCUGGGCUCACAGCCCCUUUUUUCUGAGAGUGGGAGCCAAGUCGGGCCGCAGGUGAUAUCAUCUUCGCAGUUGGCGAACCUGGAGAUGGCGAGUGGAGAGCACCGCGGACAGGAGCGCGCGAGACCAGCACCAAGGAGAGCUCCCGCGGUCGCCAUCGUGAGAUAGGUCGCCAGGGGCGGAGUCCGGGCCAUGGACGGAGAGAUGUGCCAGCAAGGGACUCAGCGAGACGGCGACACAAAUGUGCCGACAAACAUAUACAGAGACAGACAGAGAUAACCCAGGCAAAGGCGCGGACUUGAGGCGACAAGCUCCUGGUGAAUACCCGGACCCAGCCUCGCCGUCGCCCCCGUCGUCCAGCAGGGGUCGCUGUUACCCAGCGACCGCGCCCUCCGGGACCUUGGGGCCAGAUACUGGCCACCACCCCUUGGGAAGCCCUUCUGUCCCCCAGUGCCAAGACUGGGAGUUCGGAGGGCUCGGACACUCUCCUCUCCAACUUUGGGAAGCAUGGUGGGUUUGGCCUCACCUGUGUGAACAUGGAGGAGCGGCGAGGGAGCUGAAAAGCGCUUUAACUGCCCCCCUCUCCAACUACCAGCUAAUCGCUCCUAUAAAUACAGACGGCCUGGCCUGGCUCCUUAA
rnacentral:lncRNA from 1 species